rnacentral:lncRNA from 1 species
UUAUCUCCAAUGGCGUCCUUCGCCGCCGGCGCGGGGCAAUUUCUCAGCCUCCAUCAAACUCGCACCCGUCCAAAACUACACUGUACUCCGUCCUCUGCCUCUAUUACCACCAACACUAUCAGAUGCCAACAGAUUUCGUCUCAAAACCCUAACAAACCCUUAAAAACCCGGCCCUCAAAAACCCCCGUGCUUUCUGUUAAGAAUCUAGCCAUCUCCGCCGCGGCUGGUGUUUUAUUUCACGUAGCGUUCAAGAGUUCUUCCCUCUUCGGUUUCGGCGGUGGAGGAGGUGGCGGUGGAGCCAGUGGAGGCGGCGGAGGUGGUGGAGGUGGA